rnacentral:rRNA from 1 species
GACGAACGCUGGCGGCGUGCCUAAUACAUGCAAGUCGAACGCAGUGGGGAUGGGUGAGUAACACGUGGGUAACCUCCCAUCAGAGGGGAUAACACUUGGAAACAGCUGCUAAACCGAUACUGAUGGAUGGACCCGCGGGGGAUUAGCUUGUCGGUGGGGUAACGGCUUACCAAGGCCACGAUGCAUAGCCGGCCUGAGAGGGUGAUCGGCCACACUGGGACUGAGACACGGCCCAGACUCCUACGGGAGGCAGCAGUAGGGAAUCUUCGGCAAUGGGGGAAAGUCUGACCGAGCAACGCCGCGUGAGUGAAGAAGGUUUUCGGAUCGUAAAACUCUGUUGGUAGAGAAGCGGUAUCUAACCAGAAAGCCACGGCUAACUACGUGCCAGCAGCCGCGGUAAUAC